rnacentral:rRNA from 1 species
GGGUUGUGAGGUUAAGCGACUAAGCGUACACGGUGGAUGCCCUGGCAGUCAGAGGCGAUGAAGGACGUGCUAAUCUGCGAAAAGCGUCGGUAAGGUGAUAUGAACCGUUACAGCCGGCGAUGUCCGAAUGGGGAAACCCAGUGCAAUUCGUUGCACUAUCGUUAACUGAAUACAUAGGUUAACGAGGCGAACCGGGGGAACUGAAACAUCUAAGUACCCCGAGGAAAAGAAAUCAACCGAGAUUCCCCCAGUAGCGGCGAGCGAACGGGGAGCAGCCCAGAGUCUGAAUCAGCUUGUGUGUUAGUGGAACGGUCUGGAAAGUCCGACGGUACAGGGUGAUAGUCCCGUACACCAAAAUGCACAGGCUGUGAACUCGAAGAGUAGGGCGGGACACGUGGUAUCCUGUCUGAAUAUGGGGGGACCAUCCUCCAAGGCUAAAUACUCCUGACUGACCGAUAGUGAACCAGUACCGUGAGGGAAAGGCGAAAAGAACCCCGGCGAGGGG